rnacentral:rRNA from 1 species
UUCUCCUACGGGGGGCAGCAGUGGGUACUAUUGCUCCAUGUUCUAAAGCCUGACGCAGCGACGCCGCGUGAGGGAUGAAGGUCUUCGGAUCGUAAACCUCUGUCAGCAGGGAAGAACGGUCACUGUGCUAAUCAGCAGUGAAUUGACGGUACCUGCAAAGGAAGCACCGGCUAACUCCGUGCCAGCAGCCGCGGUAAUACGGAGGGUGCGAGCGUUAAUCGGAAUUACUGGGCGUAAAGCGCUCGUAGGCGGUAUGUCAAGUCAAGGGUGAAAUCCCCGCGCUCAACGUGGGAACUGCCUUUGAA